GCAGUCGAACGGGAUCCAUCAAGCUUGCUUGGUGGUGAGAGUGGCGAACGGGUGAGUAAUGCGUGACCGACCUGCCCCAUACACCGGAAUAGCUCCUGGAAACGGGUGGUAAUGCCGGAUGUUCCAGUUGAUCGCAUGGUCUUCUGGGAAAGCUUUCGCGGUAUGGGAUGGGGUCGCGUCCUAUCAGCUUGACGGCGGGGUAACGGCCCACCGUGGCUUCGACGGGUAGCCGGCCUGAGAGGGCGACCGGCCACAUUGGGACUGAGAUACGGCCCAGACUCCUACGGGAGGCAGCAGUGGGGAAUAUUGCACAAUGGGCGCAAGCCUGAUGCAGCGACGCCGCGUGAGGGAUGGAGGCCUUCGGGUUGUAAACCUCUUUUAUCGGGGAGCAAGCGUGAGUGAGUUUACCCGUUGAAUAAGCACCGGCUAACUACGUGCCAGCAGCCGCGGUAAUACGUAGGGUGCAAGCGUUAUCCGGAAUUAUUGGGCGUAAAGGGCUCGUAGGCGGUUCGUCGCGUCCGGUGUGAAAGUCCAUCGCUUAACGGUGGAUCCGCGCCGGGUACGGGCGGGCUUGAGUGCGGUAGGGGAGACUGGAAUUCCCGGUGUAACGGUGGAAUGUGUAGAUAUCGGGAAGAACACCAAUGGCGAAGGCAGGU
rnacentral:rRNA from 1 species